rnacentral:rRNA from 1 species
GAUUAACGCUGGCGGCGUGCCUAAAAUAUGCAAGUCGAGAGCAGUUCGGCUGCUCGGCGGACGGGUGAGUAACACGUUGAUUAUCUAUCCCAAAGUCAGGCAUACUCCCGGGAAACUGGGAAUAAUUCCUGAUAGUCCCAAAGCCUUCGGGUUUUUGGGUAAAGCUCCGGCGCUUUGGGAAGAGUCUGCGUGCUAUCAGCUUGUUGGUGAGGUAAUGGCUCACCAAGGCUAUGACGGCUAGGGGGCGUGAGAGCGUGACCCCCCACAAUGGGACUGAGAAACGGCCCAUACUCCUACGGGAGGCAGCAAUUAGGAAUAUUGCACAAUGCCCGAAAGGGUGAUGCAGCGACGCCGCAGGGACGAAGAAGGCCUUCGGGUUGUAAAGUCCUAAGACAGAGGAGUAAAUCUUGAAUUAACUCUGUUAUUAGUCCUGACUAACUAUGUGCCAGCAGUCGCGGUAAUACAUAGAGGGCAAGCGUUAUCCGGAAUCACUGGGCAUAAAGGGUGCGUAGGCGUUCCAGUAACUCUUUGGUUAAAUCUUUCCGCCUAACGGAAAGACUGCCAGAGAAACUGCUGGAAUAGAGGCAGGUAGGGGCAGACGGAACCAAUGGUGUAGGGGUGAAAUCCGUUGAUAUCAUUGGGAACACCGAAAGCGAAGGCAGUCUGCUAGGCCUGUUCUGACGCUGAGGCACGAAAGCGUGGGUAGCGAAUCGGAUUAGAUACCCGAGUAGUCCACGCCGUAAACGAUGAUCACUAGAGAUCAGAUGGCAUCGACCCCACUGGUCUCGUAGCUAAUGCGUUAAGUGGUCCGCCUGGGAAGUACGCCCGCAAGGGUGAAACUCAAAGGAAUUGACGGGGACCCGCACAAGCGGUGGAGCGUGUGGUUUAAUUCGACAAUAAGCGAAGAACCUUACCAGGGUUUGACAUCUCUGGAAUCUCCGAGAAACCGGAGAGUGCCCUUCGGGGAGCCAGAAGACAGGUGUUGCAUGGCUGUCGUCAGCUCGUGUUGUGAAACGUUGGGUUAAGUCCCUGAACGAGCGCAACCCUUGCUCUAUGUUAAAUCUGUCAUAGAGGACUGCCGUGGUCAACACGGAGGAAGGUGAGGAUGACGUCAAGUCAGCAUGGCCCUUAUGCCCUGGGCGACACACGCGCUACAAUGGUGCAUACAAAGGGUUUUGCCAAGCCGCGAGGUGGAGCUAAUCCCCAAAAUGCACCCCAGCACGGAUUGGAGUCUGCAACCCGACUCCAUGAAGAUGGAAUCGCUAGUAACCGUGGGUCAGCCAUAUCACGGUGAAUAUGUUCCCGGGUCUUGUACACACCGCCCGUCAUGUCAAAGAAGCUGGUGGCACUGGAUGUUCUAACUUCGGUUGGAAUGAAGGUGAAGCCAGUGACUGGG